CAAUGUGGGAGUGAUAUAAAAUGGUAAGGACGACCAAAUUAUUCAUAAAGAUGAAGAUCUUCGCACUCAUUCUUACGUUAUCCUUUAUAUUUAGUCAAGCAAUAGCCGAUCCUGAAUGCUUUGUAGAAUGUAAACAGAUAUGCGCCAUAUCAAAAACCCAGGCAGCACUGCUUUGUCCUAGGUGUAAAUGCUGUCCACAGAUAACAUGUAGAUACUGUAUGUUUGGAUACGUACUAGCUAGAGACAGCACUGGAUGUAGAAGCUGUAGAUGUAAAUGGCCAAUGUAAACAACCAAAGAAACCCAAAUAUACACCUUCUUGGUGCCACAUUAAUAAGUGAUUAUUUUUGUUAUUGUUUAUUGGAUCAUUAAGAAUAAAUCUAGAUUUUUAUA